CGACGAUAGUGUGACAUCUCGAAUUAUACGAUUUUUUGUUUUAUAGAAAUUCUGAAUCGCGAUCUUGUGUUCUUUUAUCUCCAAAAAUAUGGUAUUUGUUACUCCAAAAACAAAAAUACUGUGAGAGAAAAAGACAAAAUGUUACUUUAUAGCACUGUCUCGUUUGACGAUCUAGUUUGCUUCGACACCGUGACAGUUCAGUUGCCACCUGCACUUUGAUGUGAGAUGUUCUUAGUUUUUAAACAAAAAACGUGAUAUUCGAGGAUACCGCGAUAUUGGUGACAAAGAUGGGGACUAGGCCUAAACGAAUAUUACAAUUAGCACAACGCAAUAUAGCCGACGAUUGGCUCGGCAGCAGUUUCCUGGUCUCUUCUAUCAGUUCGUUACAAACUGUGAAUGAUGAUGAAAUCAUGAAACAGCAAAAAGCAACAUGGAUGAAGAUUUUCUCAGUGGAAACCUAGUCGCUUCUAACAACUUGUAUUUACAAACUGUAAAUAAACCACAACAGUAUCGAUAUGUCAAAAUUGAUUGUUAAGAUAAGAAUUGUAAAAACUU